rnacentral:misc_RNA from 1 species
GUCAUUUUGAUGUGUAAAACAACUCAAUCAUUUGUAUAAGCUCAUAAUUAAAAUGAAUUAAAAUGUAAUAUGCCCAAUACUCACUCCAAAUUUAACAAUCUUUAACAUUAUUUAUCGUUUGGAGUGUAAAAAGGGGGUGUUUACAAAUUCUAAUGUGUCUAUUGAACUUUGCAUUCUUUUGAAUUAUAUGUCAUGCUUUGAAUUUUAUCAAUUUGGUUCAUAAAUUACUAAUUUUGUUUCAACUGUAUCCAAUGGAUUUAGGCAUAUGCCAAUAUUGACGAAUUGUUGAAGUGGACUUUUGACAUGGACAAAAAUGACUAAUCUGGAUGAUGGGGCUGCUCUUAUGCCCUAAGAGCCACCAAAUGAUGGUGUUUUGCAAAAUUUGAAUCUCAAAAUGUAUUUU